CCGGGUGAUGAGGUUUUUGGGAUAGAUCAAGGCAGGAGAGGAAGGAUAGUGAGACCGUGGAGAGGACGGAUGGCCGGAUUUUGAUUUUUGGAUUUCGCUCCAUCUCUUUCCAUAUCCGAGAGUCUUUUUCUACGAUUGUUGUUAGAUUUUCGAAGGUUGUCGAAUAGUUUUGAGUUUUAUUUACGAGAGUCAUUUCGUAAAAGUUGUCAAACUUAUUCUACGAAAAUUGUAUCAUAAAAUACAACCAUGUUUAACUCUACGAAUAAUGUCUCGUAAAAUAAUGUCGAUUUUAAUUUUACGAAAGCUGUUUUGUAAACUGUUGCCAACUUUAGUUUUACGAAAGUUUUUCCGAAAAAUAAUAUCGAGUUUAAUUUAAAAAAAGUUAUUCCGCAAAAUGUUAUGGAUUUUCAUUUUACGAAAGUAGUUUCGUAAAAUGUUGCCGUGCUUAAUUUUACAAAAGUUAUUUUGCAUGAUGUUGUCGAGCAUAAUUUUUAUGAGAUUUGUUCCGUAAAGAUGUUUUACAUUUUUGGAUGUAUGAGAGCCGUGACGAGGUUAAAUAUUGCGAGCAAACUUAAUCAGAAGUUUAUCUCUUAUCUGUGGGAUUGAUCCAUUGAAGUUCGGAGUAGUU
rnacentral:lncRNA from 1 species